GCCCCAGCAACUGGUCGGCCAAUCGUCGGCUUCCCAGCGACCUUCCAGAUUCAGCCCUCACCGCUCACAGGAAGGGCUGUUGACUCAUCCCUCCGGAGAAAGAGAACGGGAGAAGGUCUGUCUGGCUCAAAGAGGCCCUCCCUUGCUCCAUCGCCUAGUUUCUUUUGGGCAGUGGCUAACUUCCUUCAGGCUUGUUUUAGCUAAAGUCUCCUUUCAAAUAAUAACAAUUACCUUCAGGCUGGCUCCCUCUUACCCGACCACGCCUCCUCUGGGCCUCCUUUGUCUGCCUGUGGUCUGAAAAGGAUGCAGGGACUUGGAAGCCAGAUCAGAAAUGUCAGCCAAAGCCAGACAAAACCAUGACCUUAAGUCUGCAACAGCAGAAGCUGCGGCAUAUAUGCAUUAUAUGUGCAUAUAAUGUUUCCUGAGGCCUCUUAUAAACGGGCUUGGGUUCUCUCUCCCCGCAAGGAUACGGAGAAUUAAGUUGAUGGGCAGCGGCGGUUUUCCGUUGAGUAUGUGUUAAGAAUGCGGACCUCCACUCAGGAAUCCAAGGGGCUGGGGCGACGGGGCAUCUGCUGACAUGGUUGAGAGCACAGAUGUGAUGAGACAGACCCAGGUUCCAAACCUGUCUCCACCACCUCUACAAGCUGUCUAAGCCAGUGUUAAGAUGUUCAAAAUGGGAAUGAGAAUGAUAGUGCCCUCUUCAUAGGAUUAUGAGAAUGAAAUGGGGGUAGGGCAGGUGGGCCUAGCCCCGUGCUUGGCUCACUCAUGCAGGAGUUAUUAUUAACAUGUUCUUUAGCAUCUCGUAUUAAACUUGGCUGGGAAGUGACUCUAGCAGUCUAUCAAUCACCUGGAACAUAUCCCUCCCUUAAGGGACCUCCAGAUGGGGGUGAACGUUGAGAUGCUGGCUGGAACCCUCCUAUCCAUGCCACAGAGUGGAUUGCAUUGUGGCUCUCUCAUCCUGACAGAUCUAAUUCCAACAGCCAAUCAUAGCUGUUCAAAAGCAUUAUUUGCCCACCUCCUGUGCUGCAGGAUCCCAAGCUGGCAAGGGGAGACCUUUUUAUUAAUAUUAAUAAGCAUCCAGGAACAAAGGGCCCCUUUAUUUUCUGCUUUCUCCGACUGCAUAAUAAUUACUCAUCUACACUAAGAAUGAGGCUGACUUUGUCUCCUGGAGGCAAAUAUAAACUGAUGGUUUAUAUUGUUGGAGAAGGCAGGCACCACUCUGGGAUACAUGCAAAACAUGUUCCAUAGAGUCAGAAUCCCGGCUUUCAUCCAGAAGACCUCACCAAUCAGGAAGAAGGCUGAGGACACAGUAAUGUGUUGAGGAGGGGCACCCCAGCUAGGGUUAAUCAGGUGUGGCUUCCUGGCAGUCUGAGCCAAUUGUAAUGGAGGGAGCAGAGAUAAGGACAGACAGAGGCUGCCAUGAGGGCACAGGAGUGGGAACCAACAGUCCCAAGCAGGGAAUGAAUAAUAACUUGUUGGCAGAAGCAAAGAAGAGUCACAGGAAACUAAGGCGGAGUACUGUGACCAAAUGCUCCCCCCUCUCCCCGCCGUGUCUGCCUUGCUCCCCUAACCUGGCUCCAGAUCACAAACCCAGCCCCAGCCAGGGGGAUUAGGGAGGGGUCGAGCUGUGUUCUGUGGGACCGCUGCCAGGCUGAUCUUCCUUAGCUGGUUCUGUCCUUACCAAGUUCCACCGCCAUAAAGCGUAUGAACCUCUCUCUCCCACCAGUAGGACUGUAUCAAUCUGGGUUUCAAGGUCUCCCAGAAUCUAGCCUGCCUCUACUUCAGCAAGCCUGUACCCCCACUGCCCAUCAGGCAGCCUGCCACUGUCCCCCGGGGAACUGGCUGCUUAUCCCAUGCUCAUCAUGACCUUUUAUCCAAGUUCUCCCACCUGAAAUGUCCUCUUACCUCUCACUCCACACCCUUCAGUGUCUACUUUGAGUCUUGCCUCCUAUCUGAGCUUCCCUGCCUGCUGAGUGCUCUCCGAUCAGGCGGGAACGUAGGCUCACUGAAGACCAGCUCUUGUAACAACUGUGUGCUGUGUCCGCCCCCAAAGACUGGGAGCUUGUUGAAGGCAAGGACCUGCCCUGAAAUUCUGCAUCCCACCCCAGACCCCAGUGUGAUGCUGAGCCCAGAGUUAAUCAGCUAAUGGACUGGUUGGUAUGAAGCAGGAAACUGUUGUAGCCGUUUGGCACCACAGGAAAGCCAACAUAAAGACAAUAUUGAAGCCAAAAGGAGGACCGAGCUAAGAGAAGUGCCGACUCCCCGGAGCAGUCUACACAUGAAGCCCACUCUUCCAUGGAUCUUCCAGAAUGUUAGCUGGGUUGGUCCCAAAGCCCUCGGAAAAUGAAUGAAGCUGAGGUCAGCAGCGGGCAGCUCAGCACAUUAUUAUAAAUUCACUGGGGUUACUGAAAUCCAAUGCUGGACUCUUUCUGGUGAAAGACCCGGCUCUCCCAGGAAUGAAGAUUUUAAUGACAAACUGAGAAACAAGGUGCCCAUGCCCAGAACGCAAGGCCAUGGACUGGGAGGCAUGUGUUCGGGCAGGGUCUUUUGGGUAAGUCUGGCUGGUUGCAGCAGCUGGUCAUAACAGGUCACGGAUUUGCUCUCCUUCUGGGCCAGUGUGCUGGCUCUAUUCCAUGGACGCAGAUGUGGCUCUAUCCCAGCGAGAGAGCGUCCCCAGGACCCUACCCCCAGCUUUGGCCAUCUUGAGGCCCCAGAGGAUGCUUGCCGCUAGCACAAGGGAGGCUGGGUGGGAAAGAAGAGAUGAUUGCCCUGCAGCCCCCUUUCCCGGACACUGGAUCCUGCUGAUGGAAGCGCAGGAAAGCCGACCUCAGAAAUGGAGGCAGCACAUUGAUCCACUUUCCUUUUUUAAAUGAAGCUGAUGAGAAGUAAUGCAUCGUGGGAAAUAAGGACUCUCAGCAGGAGGGAUCUAGAUUCUCAAACCACUGCAGGCAAGAAAUGUUAUCUGCCUUUAUAUUCCUUCCUGCCAGCCGCGGAGCAAACCUUCAACGAACGCGUUGCUUGUUGAAAGCAACACCUGGGAACCCUAAAGCUUAAGACACAAAUGACACAAACGAUUCCCGGCUCCCUCCAGCGGCCGGAAGAGUGUGUGUGGGCCGCUACCGUUCACGCCCCUCAGCCCCGAACACAAAUAAGGCGAAGGCUGCCACGGGGAAAUGGAAAAUACCCCGGGAGGGGUGGGACAGGCAAGCCUGCUUCAUGAGCACCUGCACCUACCCUCCUCCCCAAAGCAUUUUCUCUAUGGUUCAAGUUCAACUAGUUCUUCUAUGUCUUGACUUGAAUUUUGCUUUUGUUCACUUUGCCUACUGGAACUGAAACUCUUAGGAUGUCUGGUCACAGGCUAGCGAAGCCGUCUUCCUGGCAGAGCCAGACUUAGGAUUUAGGCCACUAAGGGGGAUUUUUGUUCUCUCUGCCUUCUGCCCCACCACCCCCUGCAGAACAGCUCUUCCCAGAUUUGCCUUCCCAGGCCUCGUUCCGUCCCGUGACUGACUGGCCUGCUCGCAGGCAAUCCUUGUUCGUGCUGACGGUGCCACGGACUUCCACGGCGCCACUCCUCUCUGUUCAGCUGCCAUUCUACUCUGUCACCUCGCACUCUUUCGGGAACUUCAUGAACUCUGUGACUUCCUGGGCUUCAGUCUCCCAUAACAGAUAACUUCUGCCCUGAAGGUUCAGAUUCCACCGGCGUCUUCCCGUGGCAUUAGUUCAGAGCCACCGACUGGCCCGACUUAAAGAGCAGGUCCCAGGUGGCAGCUGUGACUUCAUGUGCCAGCAACUUGUAAAGAUUAGGGCCAUCUCCCAAAGCUCUAAGAGACCUCUGGCACUCCCUUACAGUGCGUCAUCACAAAUGUAGGGGAGAUGGUGUGUCCAGAGACACUGACCGCACACGUCCCUGAGCCUCCGCAGAGGCUGCAGGACUGCGAAGUCUUCUGGGAAGAUGGAGGGAAACUGUGGUCUCCUCUUUAAACGUCACAGGGUCCCCUUCCCACCUGUCCCCUCCCUUCCUCCUCCCCACGAAGCUGUGCCAGUAGUCUCUAUACUAGGAAUGUUGCCACUCUGACCCUACUUGCCCCCACCCUGCCCCCUGGAGACCUCAGGUAAAGGCUUCUCCCUUAUCUUCACCCACAGUGAGAAGAAACGCUAACCUUCACUAGGACUCAGUGCAUUUCCUGUCUGCAGACCGAGCAUCUUAAGAUCUCAAUCCCUUUCCCCGCAACGUCUCACUUUCCCUCCACCCUGGGGACUAGACUGCACAGACAGGACUGCCACACGGACCCGUCUCCUUGAAGGGCCGGAUGUGAGCUGGCAAAGGACUCAACGGAGAAAAGGGCUCGGGGGAGCCUUGAUGGUAGGCCUUAAGAAAUAAGAGAAGACCUGCUCUGUUCAAGAACCAUACGAGGAAGACAAGAACAAGGAAGAACUUUCAGACUCCCUGCAAUCCUGGUUCUGCUCUCUUUCGUGAGAGUUGGUCACUAUCAACAGAGAUCUCAGGAAGGCUAGAGCCGAGGGUGGUGACCCAGCGCUGGGCCGGGGGAGCGGGGAGUGUGAGGGGAGGUGGUGGUGGCUGAUGGCGAGAACAUGGAUCCGAGCCCCUUGGCAACGUUGACAAUAUGGAGCCCCCUCUCUUCCUGGUCCCCCACGCUAUCCUUCAGACAGCCGUGCCGUGCCGGGCUGUCGCGGACCCUGUAAUAUCAACUCAACAAUGCAUGUUCUACAACUACGGCUACAGCUACCAGGACAUCUACUACAGUGCAUGCAUUUAGUUCAGUCCCACAGAUACAUACACUCUAAGAACAGGCAGGGGAGGUGUGAAAUGUUUUACUGGACAACAGGUGUGUUGGAGUUGUAACUAAUAAAAAAAAAAAUCGAAAACGAAAGUGUACAAAAAAAGACAUUUCUUGAGAGUUGGAUAUGAGUUUGUUUCUUGAACUGUUUCAUCUGAACAAGCAAAAACAUGCAAACCAGCUGGUACUAACAGGAAGCUGGACACUGAGAGAGGAUUAAUAGGUGUGGACAAACCUUCCCGCUGAGCGUGCUCAGAAGAGUGUUUGAGAGGAGGUGUGCAGAUCCUAGUGUAAGAGAGGCGGGAAAGUAUGCCUCAGAGACACUCUCUCACCGCAGCCCCAACCAAGCAAGAGAAAAGACAACAGAAACAUGACUCUCGCACUCACCACCACCGUCAGGAACUCAUGUUACUAGAUUGGAAUAAAGCUGGCAAGUAUAAAGUACAGUAAGGGGUCCUGGCUGGGGCCGGAGAUGGGCUGGGGGUGGGCAGGGGGCUCAGAAGCUCUUCGGCUGAUACACAGACCCACCCGUAAUGUCACCCAGAAAUA